AUGGCGCCGCCGCUCCUCCUCCUCCUCCUCUUGCUCCUGAUCCGGGCCGCCGGGACCUCCUCCGCGCCCGCGCCCCCGUCCUACUCCGCCCACUGCCCGGCCCCGCCCGCCGUGCCGGACCUCCCCGCGGGGGCCGGCCUCGCCUCCCCCUCCGCCGCCCCCGCCCCCGCGCUCCAGCUCUCCACCGGCUACUUCUCCGGCGGCGGGGACCUCCUCUUCGGCCCGGACGGCGCCUCCCGCCUCCCGCGCUCCUUCGCGCUGCUCCCCACCUCCGUCCUCCCCACCGCCGACGCCUCCGUCCUCCGCGUCGCCGCCACGCUCUCCUUCUCCGGCGGCGGCGGCCGCGGCAACCGCAACGGCAUCUGGCCUACAGGCCGCAACCGCCGCCUCUUCGAGUACGACGGCCAGCAGCACCGCCUCCGCCCGCGCCUCCCGCGCUUCGUCGGCCGCCGCGGCUCCCUCGUCUUCGACCUCCACGGCUACUACUCCUCCGCCUCCGGGGGCCUCUGCAUGGUCGGCUCGGGCUCCGGCCGCGCCGCCGACGGCCGCCCCGUCGCGCUCCUCGCCGCCGUGCUCCGCCUCCGCUUCCCCCGCCCCGCCAACCUCUCCAGCCUCUUCGUCACCGGCCGCCUCGAGAGCACCGGCCCCGGCCCCGGCGUGGCGUUCGAGCCCGUCUCGCUCCUCGCCUACGCGGAGGAGGGGUACGCCUACGCCGAGAGCGCGUCCUGCCCUCGCCCGCCCGCCGACGGCCGCGACGUCCGCCAGCUGUUCGGCGGGAGGAACUUCACCUGCCCCGGCCUCAGGUCGCUGCUAAGGCCGGGGUUUAGGCUGGACUACGGCAACGGCGGCGAGGCGGCCGCCUCCUCGCUGGGGAUCAACCAGACGCACAUGUUCGUCAACAGGGUGCACUGCGCGGCCGACGGCGCUGUGCGUGUCUAUGUGGCCUUCUCCAACAUGUCAGAUUAUUCCAGGUAUUACUUCAUGGUCACCGAGAAGGCGAUUGUGGCAGAGGGCUUCUGGGAUCACAAUUCCAACAGGUUAUGCUUGAAAGGAUGCCAUGUGGUAAACUCAGGAUCAUCCCGUGCGGAAUUGGCGGUCGGUGAGUGCGGGAUUGGGAUGACCUUCUGGUUCCCGGGAGUGUGGUCGAUCCAGGAACGGAGCUUUUCUGCAGGGUUGGUCUGGAACGCCAGCCUGAAAAGGGACCAGGGCAUUGCCGGAUAUUCAACUGCGGUUAGGGGUAACUUUGGGGGUUUGAAGUACAACUACACUAAGGUUGAUGAGGCAACCAAGUAUUACAAGCAGUAUGGCCUGAACAAGAAGAGGAAGGGCAAGUUCCCAGAUAGAAAUUCGUAUCUAGACUUGGCGUUCCGGUUCAACUUGCAGAAAUGGGGUGGUUCUGGGUACGCAUCGCCGAUCACAAUCGGAUCCAUGUUGUCUGAUGGGAGCUCUUUUGUGCUCACAGACCUUUCCACUCGCCCUGCAGUGCUGGAGACGAAGCAGAGGUUACUUAAUGUCAGCUACAAUAUCCGCUAUGUCGGGCGUUGGUCACAAGCAACAUUUCAGCGGCAACAGAUCUCGGCGGAAGGUGUUUAUGACACCGAGACAGGCUCCUUGUGCCUGAUUGCAUGUCGACGGGUUAAUGUCUCCUCCUCAGACUGUAAGAUUCUGAUAACGGCUCACUUUGCUAGUCUGGAUGCGAAAGCAGCACAACAUGUCCAGGGGAAAAUUAUAAGCUUGAGGGGCAAGACCGACCCUCUUUUCUUUGAAACGCUGGACAUUGAUUCAUAUGGGAUGUACAUAGGCCAAGUGGAAGAAUCAAUAUGGCGAAUGGACUUGGAAAGCAUCAUGGCCCUCGUCUCAAUGACUCUGUCGUGUGCCUUCAUUGCUGUGCAGCUGUUCCAUGUCAAGAAGGUCCCUGAAGCGCUCCCUGCUAUGUCAAUCACUAUGCUUGUCGUGCUCGCGCUGGGUUACAUGACCCCUCUUGUGCUCAACUUUGAGGCUCUUUUCAAGCACAGCAACAAACAGACUGUUCCCUUCUCCGGUGGUGGUUGGCUUGAGGUGAAUGAGGUCAUGGUGCGAAUCAUCACAAUGGCGACGUUUCUGCUGCAGCUGCGCCUUCUUCAGUUGGCAUGGUCUGCACGGUCUUCUGUGGAUGGAAGCAAACACGAGGCAUGGGCUGCAGAGAGGAAAGUGCUCUGGGUGUGCUUGCCGCUGUACAUCAUAGGUGGAGUUAUAACAGCGAUUGUGCACAUGAGAACCAACCAUAGCAGAAGGAUGAUGAGGCAAAUUGCUCGCCUCAUGCCGUCACGACAUACAUUCUGGGAGGACAUUGUCCCUUACGGGGGCUUAUUGCUCGAUGGGUUCCUGCUCCCCCAGGUCAUCCUGAAUGUGUUCUCAGCUUCUAAAGUCAGAGCGCUUUCCCCUGUGUUUUACAUUGGGGGCACCAUGCUGCGUGCGCUGCCUCAUGCAUACGAUGCAUACAGGACCCAUCACUUUGUGCGCAGCAUGAGGCCAUCCUACAUCUACGCGAGCUCUCGCGACGACCUCUUCAGCCUCGCGUGGGACAUCGUCAUACCUUGUGGGGUGGUCCUGCUGGCCACGCUCCUCUUCUUUCAGCAGUGGCUUGGGGGCGCCUUCUUCCUCUGCUCCAAGAGACGGAAGCCGUCGAGCGAAUACGAAAUGGUUUCCACGGUCAGCUCUUAG
rnacentral:rRNA from 1 species